CAGGGAUUGCCCUAGUAACGGCGAGUGAAGCGGCAACAGCUCAAAUUUGAAAUCUGGCGCAAGCCCGAGUUGUAAUUUGUAGAGGAUGCUUCUAGGUAGCGACCGGUCUAAGUUCCUUGGAACAGGACGUCAUAGAGGGUGAGAAUCCCGUAUGUGACCGGCCCGCACCUUCUACGUAGCUCCUUCGAAGAGUCGAGUUGUUUGGGAAUGCAGCUCUAAAUGGGAGGUAAAUUUCUUCUAAAGCUAAAUACCGGCCAGAGACCGAUAGCGCACAAGUAGAGUGAUCGAAAGAUGAAAAGCACUUUGGAAAGAGAGUUAAAAAGCACGUGAAAUUGUUGAAAGGGAAGCGCUUACAACCAGACUUCUGGGCGGUGUUCCGCCGGUCUUUUGACCGGUCUACUCUCCGUCCCGAGGCCAACAUCAUCUGGGACCGCUGGAUAAGACCUUAGGAAUGUAGCUUCCCUCGGGAAGUGUUAUAGCCUCUGGUGAUGCAGCGCGUCUCGGGUGAGGUCCGCGCUUCGGCAAGGAUGUUGGCGUAAUGGUUGUCAGCGGCCCGUCUUGAAACACGGACCAAGGAGUCUAACAUCUAUGCGAGUGUUCGGGUGUCAAACCCCUACGCGUAAUGAAAGUGAACGGAGGUGGGAAGCGCAAGCUGCACCAUCGACCGAUCCUGAUGUCCUCGGAUGGAUUUGAGUAAGAGCAUAGCUGUUGGGACCCGAAAGAUGGUGAACUAUGCCUGAAUAGGGUGAAGCCAGAGGAAACUCUGGUGGAGGCUCGCAGCGGUUCUGACGUGCAAAUCGAUCGUCAAAUUUGGGUAUAGGGGCGAAAGACUAAUC
rnacentral:rRNA from 1 species